rnacentral:rRNA from 1 species
CCUACGGGACGCACCAGUGGGGAAUAUUGCACAAUGGGCGCAAGCCAGAUGCAGCCAUGCCGCGUGUGUGAAGAAGGCCUUCGGGUUGUAAAGCACUUUCAGCGGGGAGGAAGGCGAUAAGGUUAAUAACCUUGUCGAUUGACGUUACCCGCAGAAGAAGCACCGGCUAACUCCGUGCCAGCAGCCGCGGUAAUACGGAGGGUGCAAGCGUUAAUCGGAAUUACUGGGCGCAAAGCGCACGCAGGCGGUCCGUCAAGUCGGAUGUGAAAUCCCCGGGCUCAACCUGGGAACUGCAUUCGAAACUGGCAGGCUAGAGUCUCGUAGAGGGGGGUAGAAUUCCAGGUGUAGCGGUGAAAUGCGUAGAGAUCUGGAGGAAUACCGGUGGCGAAGGCGGCCCACUGGACGAAGACUGACGCUCAGGUGCGAAAGCGUGGGGAGCAAACAGGAUUAGAUACCCCAGUAGUC